GUGUUAAAAGAGUGCCUUGUGUCUUUCCUAUUGUUUACUCUGAGUGUUCUCUGCUGCUGAUGUUUAAUGUCACUUAGGCUUUUCUCCUCUCAGACUGACUUUACAUAAGCUUUCACACUGCAUUUGUGCGUGUGUAUAAGCAUCAAUGCAGGGUUAAAAUGUGAGGAAACCCAGGUGUUUCACCCCUUCUUCGCAUUAAAAAUUUGGCCUGUGGAAACUGCUCAGUGCUCGGAUUUUGACCACAAACCAUAUAGAUCAAAAUCAUACACUGUAUAGAAGACUAUAAAUCAUACAUACAGUGGGGGAAAUAAGUAUUGAAUGCGGCAACAUUUUUUUCAGUAAAUAUAUUUCAAAUGAGGCUGUUCACAUGAAAUUUUCACCAGAAUUUUCAACUCAAUAAAUCCAUACAUAUAAAGAAAUCCAAACAUUAAAAUCCAUAAAUGAAGUUAUGUGUAAUAAAGCGGAAUGACACAGGAAAAAAGUUAACUGAAAUUUAUUUAAUACUUAGUGGAGAAGCCAGAAGCCUUUGUUUGUAACGACAGCUUCAAGACACUUCCUGUAUGAAGAAAUUAAUGGGAUGCAGUAUUCAGAGUUUCCUUUGCUGUAUGCUUUGGAUUGUUGUCCUGCUGGAUGGUCCACCCACAUCUCAUCUUCAUCAUCCUGGUGGAUGGCAGCAGAUUCUUCUCAAGAGUUUCCCGGUAAAGGACUCCAUUCAUCAUUCUUUCAGUUAUAUGAAGUCUGCCAGUACCAUGCGAUGAAAAACAGCCCCACACUAUGAUGCUUCCACCUCCAAACUUCACUGUUGGUGUAGUGUUUUUAGGGUGAUGUGCAGUGCCAAUUUUUCUCCAAACAUGGUGUGUAGUAUAACAGCCAAAAAGUUUAAUUCUGCUCUCGUCUGACCAGACUACACUCUCCCAGUAUUUCAUAGGCUUGUCCAAAUGAGUUGUAGCAAACUUUAAACGAGCUUCGACAUGCCUUUUCUUUAGUUGUGGAGUCUUGUGGUGUGAGCGUGAGCAGUGGAGAGCAUUUUUUGGGCCUAUUGUUUUCUCUGUGACGAUGGUACCUGUUGCCUCCAAGUGUUUCUGGAGCUCUUUCUGAGUGGUCCUUGGCUCUUGGGCUACUGUUCUGACUAUUCUUCUGACUCCCUGGUCAAAAAUCUUACAAGGAGCUCCUGUGCGUGGCCUUCUGAUGACAGUGUGAUGUUGCUUCCACUUGUGGAUAAUGGCCCUAAUGGUGUUUGCUGGAGACUUCAGACGUUUUGAAAUAUAUCUGUAUCCGAUUCCAUCACUAUGUUCUGCAACAAUAAGGUUGCAAAGGUCUUGGGAGAGCGCUUUGCUUUUACCCAUCAUGAGAUGUUUCUUGUGUGACACCUUGGUAACGAAAAGCCUUUUUAUAGACCAUCAAUUUACUUACCAAGCUGAUAUUAAUUUUCACAGUUAGGAGGUAUAAUUACGUAUGGAUUUCAGCUGGUUCCUUGCCUUACCUGCUUUUUCUAAGCGUGUUCAAUACUUUUUUCUUGUGUUAUUCCACUUAAUUACACCUAACCAUAUUUAUAGACUUUAAUGACUUCUUGAGUUAAUACUGAUGUCUGGUGAAAAUUUCACGUGAAUAGCCUCAUUGGAAACAUAUUCAUUGAAAAAAAUGUUGACGCAUGCAAUACUUAUUUCCCCACUACAUAUAUUUUCUAAGCACACUCUAGAGGACUGUUUUCAUACUCUGAAGCAAAUGACUACAUGUGAUAAAGUAUCUGUUAAUUGAAUUAUGCGGCUUUGCAGAUUUUAUCUCGUUCAUCUCAUACAGAUGAUACAGGAGGUUCACAUGCUUUUAAAUAAAAUUAAGAAAGUACUUUUUGGCCAGGGGGUCACUGGUGGAAAAACAAACAGCAACAUUUUCUUUAUUAGUUUCAGCUAUGGAGAUGUGGUCAUGCUACAUCCAAGUUUAAGGGCCUUGAGAGAUGGCUGUUUUAUUUCCUGUUCUUUUCCAGGAAAAAGAACUAAGCUAAGUGCUUAAGGAGUGGGUGUAUAGUAUAUUGCAAUACACAAGAGAAGAGAAAAAAAGGAGAAGGAGAGAGAGAAAACAGACAAGGAAGGAGAAAGCAAGGUGAAAGAUAUAUUUUGGGUAACUGGGGAGUGCAUGAGAAAGGAAGUGUGCCUGUAAAUAUGAACCCCAGUAGGAAAAUAUACUGUAGUUAUAGACCCCUACUUUGUAUGGAGCAUCUUUAAGGGAAAAAAAAGCGAAGAAAAAAACCAAACCAAGCGGACACGCUAUUGAGUAAGCGAAACAGCCCCUACGGUCAGGUCUUUGACCCCUCAGUGCUUGCUGAUUUCACAAAGAAUUUAUUAGCUGAUCUACAUCUGCAAAUCAUUUGAGCUGUUGUUUUGAGGCAGGCCUGAGCCAAGCAGCACACAUCCCUCUGUCCGGGUCACAAGGCGAGGUCAGAACAUUGUUAGGAGGUGCAGAGAGAAUUGUGCCUCUGGCAGCAAAGCCAUCCUCCCAUUUCAUGCUUUAAAGCAUUUUAUGGUCUUCUCCACAGCCGUCUAUCAACCUAGUUCAUUAACAGUGGAGGCUGCAUUGAGGCACAUGCUAAGAUUUCUGUGACAGACAUGCAUUCUUGGGAGCUAAAAGAAGCAGUCCAAGCUUGUCUUGUGUUCAGAUGCUAUGGUUUGGAUCCAGAGACUGAUUGAUAUAGUGUAAACACUGCGUUAGUGGAACAGCGCAUGCUGAUGAAAUGAUGAUGAUGAUGUUGAUGUUGAUGAUGAUUGAAUGUGUUUGUAUAUGCAUUUGUUUGCAUGGUGUGCAUUGGAGCUUGUGUUUUGUUAAAAUGUACAUAGCAUUACAUUCAGCUUUACAUAAUAUAUGUUUAUUUUCUCAUCUACAGAAGUGUUUUUUUUUAACAUACAUGGAAAACAGAUCAGAUUAGAGUCUAAAGAUAUCACUACCAGAAACAGGAAUGCAAAUACAUCGUGUAGGUCAUAUAUUUUUUUUCUAAUCAUGUGCAUGAUUAGAUAUUAUUAAAGAGAGUUGUCAGCAUUUGAGUUCAGUAAUGGAACUGAAAAAUCAUUGGAUGUUACGCUUCCUGGUUGCCAGUACAGAAAGCAAUGUUGAUGCUUUUGGGGGUGGGUCAAGCCAAGCCUUACUUGUGGCUGACACACCUUGAGGUACUGUAUGGUGCGAUUAAGGGGGUCAGUCAAUUUUCUGGUGUGAUAGGCAAAAAUUAGGAUUUAUUAUCCAGGCCUGGUGGCCUGGGAAAACCAGUCAGAUGUUAUUGAGGCUAAAUUGUGGCCAACAACCAAAAAAUUGACCAAAUGAUGAAAUUGGAUUUUUCUGCAGAUGACAUGCCAAACAUUUCAACUUUAGAAAACAAUUGUUCUAAUUUACAGGCUUACUGAAAGUUGGGUUUAACAAACAUGUUGUUAAAAACAUGUAAAUGAAGUAAGUGUUCCCAGACAUGUCAUGCUUUGAUGAAGUUUUUGGAUAGCUACGUGGCGUAGUGAAACAGACAUGCCUGAUAAAUACAAUGUCUAAUCAAAAUGUACUGAUGAGAGCGGAGAAAGUUUUCACAUGUUUGAAUGAUCUAAUAAAAAAGGCAAAUUUAUCCAACAAAACUCACUGGAUUAUCUGCAUUUUCUUCAGCUCUGAUGUAAGAGCCAACAGUGAACAGAUUAAAUGCCUCAAGUGACUUUUACCUCAGGUGAGGAGACAGAGACUGAUGUGGAUGAUGCUGAUGAUCAUUUAUAAAUGCAUUAGUUAUGCAUUUAACAUAUACAAUUAUAUAUAAAUAUAAUAUGUAAAUCUUAUGUAUUGAAGAUUAAAUAAAAUUAAAUUAAUAAAUAGCAGUGUAACUGGAAUGGAGUAUGUAAAUACAAUUUUCUUUUUUUCAUUUUUUUUAUUUUAGAGUUAACCUUAACAUGCUAUAUGGUUACUUUCUGCUUGAGAUGUAUGUAACAAAGAAACAGCUGGAGUUGUCAGAUCCAUACAUAAUACAAAAUCAAAAUUUGACCAUGUGAAGGGUUUUCCCAGGCCACCACACAUAUAGGUUAGAACUACAGAAAAACCAGACAAGGAAGGAGCAGCAAUGAUGAACAAUACUGUAUAUUCUAGGGAGAAACUAAAGACCCAGAAAAAGUGUGCAUGAGAAAGUUAGCUCUAUGAGCAUCUAUGAGUUCCAACUGAGAAGAGCGUUCCAGGUGUUGGAAAUCAUACAGGUACUGAAGGGAUAAUUAAGUGUGUUGUGUGUGGCGCAUCGAGUAGUGUGUGGAGUUUCUAUGAUCCAUGCAUGGAAACUUUGAGUAACAAAUUGACUGAAAUGGAAUUUUAAUUGCACGCUUCAUCCUCUGCUGAUGUCCUGGAAAAGCACGCUGAAGUGAUGCGUUUUGAGAGCGCAUUGGUGGUCUGAAGUGGUUGGGUAGUUUUAGGAGUUGUAGUGGUAAAAGAGGCAUCAAAUUAUUUAAUUUUUGAAAUUGACAUUUAAAUGAUUCGUACAAAUAAAACAGUGUGUGUAGAUGUCUGUAUAUUCAUGAGAGUGUACAAUAUAAAUACCAGGGGAUCCAUUUAAAAAAAAACAACAACAACAACCUUUACCAUCAAACUGCUUCUGCUUCACAGAUAUGGGCUCUAUGUCCCUGAGUAGGCAUGACGACGCUGCAGAGAGCCAAGUGUGGGAGUCUAAAGUCCUGAAAGCAUGCUCUCAAAAUACAAACAGCUCUUUAGGCUUCUGGAUCCCUCAGGGCAAGCCCUUAAUCUGUGCCUGUCUGGAGAUUAGAGUGACCUUCUAAACGAUAAGAGCCUCUCCUGUCUACUAUGAAGGCCACGGUUAAUGUAAAGGAUGGGAGCCAGCACUUUGUGUGUGUGUGUGUGUGUGUGUGUGUGUGUGUGUGUGUGUGUGUGUGUGUGUGUGUGUGUGUUUACUCUGCUGCCUGCGGUCUGGAUUAACCAGGAUGAGAGUGGGAAGCACAGGUGAGGAUCUUCUUCAAUCAUGGGCCUUUUUCCAUGACUUCUCCUGAGAAUCCUCACAUGUGCACUCACCCCGACACAUGCAUGCUCACUUAAACCAGAAAGCUCAAAUAAGAGCUCACAUAAGUACACAAGGGUGCACACAUGUUCAUUAAAUAGAAACAGAAAAGCAUACACAAGUGAGUGAGUGAACACACACACACACACACACACACACACACACACACACACACACACAGCGAGAGAGAGAGAGAGAGAGAG
ensembl:lncRNA